rnacentral:rRNA from 1 species
UACAGGGGCUCGAGCGUUAGUCGGAAUCACUGGGCUUAAAGGGUGCGUAGGCGGCUCGCCAAGUGCUUUGUGAAAUCCCACAGCUCAACUGUGGAACAGCAGGGCAAACUGGCGAGCUUGAGGCAGGUAGGGGCCGGAAGAACAGUUGGUGGAGCGGUGAAAUGCGUAGAUAUCAACUGGAAUGCCGAUGGGGAAGCCGUCCGGCUGGGCCUGUCCUGACGCUGAGGCACGAAAGCGUGGGGAGCAAACAGG